rnacentral:rRNA from 1 species
UACAGAGGUCCCAAGCGUUGUUCGGAUUCAUUGGGCGUAAAGGGUGCGUAGGCGGCGCGGUAAGUCGGGUGUGAAAUCUCGGGGCUUAACUCCGAAACUGCAUUCGAUACUGCCGUGCUUGAGGACUGGAGAGGAGACUGGAGUUUACGGUGUAGCGGUGAAAUGCGUAGAUAUCGUAAGGAAGACCAGUGGCGAAGGCGGGUCUCUGGACAGUUCCUGACGCUGAGGCACGAAGGCCAGGGGAGCAAACGGG